CCUACGGGCGGCUGCAGUAGGGAAUCUUCCGCAAUGGACGAAAGUCUGACGGAGCAACGCCGCGUGAGCGAAGAAGGUCUUCGGAUCGUAAAGCUCUGUUGUUAGGGAAGAACAAGUACGGGAGGAAAUGACCGUACAUUGACGGUACCUGACGAGGAAGCCACGGCUAACUACGUGCCAGCAGCCGCGGUAAUACGUAGGUGGCAAGCGUUGUCCGGAAUUAUUGGGCGUAAAGUGCGCGCAGGCGGUCUUUUAAGUCUGAUGUGAAAUCUUGCGGCUCAACCGCAAGCGGUCAUUGGAAGCUGGGAGGUGUGAGUGCAGAAGGGGUAAGCGGAAUGCCAGGGGUGGCGGUGAGAGGCAUGGGGAUGGAGAGGAGCACGGGUAGCGAAGGCGGGAUUCUGGUCGGGAACAGACGCUGAGGGGCGAUAGCGUGGGUAGCAAACAGGAGAAGAUAGCUGAGUAGGC
rnacentral:rRNA from 1 species